ensembl:lncRNA
CCACCCAUCCCACCUUCCAAGGACUCCCCCAUUCUGAAGGUGUUAGCUCCAGACUAGCAGCCCCAAGAAGACUCUACUUCUUCAGCCUCCAGGGAGUUCUUCUGGUACUUGGUGGCAAUGAAAGUCAGCGAUUACAAUUGCAAGAUUUCUUCAGGAUAUCAGUUGUAACAAUAUUGUACUGAGUAAGGCUCCAGCUAGAGUCCUGUGGCGAGUCAAUAGAGACCUCCAUCGAAGUUGAAAUGGAUCCAUUACCAAGACUUUUAGGCAGUGAUUGUUCAACCAGCUGCAAAUCAGUCUAAUUUACCCCACAUCUACCCUACGCCUCUACAGGCCAGUGUAAAAGAUUUUUGCCUAACGUCAUACUGAAAUUCACACGUGUUGCCUUGACCUUCCAGCGCAACCACAUUGUCAAAGAAAUGGAGGUCUGCUCACACCUCACAGUUCACAUUUUCUUUGGCCCCUCUCUGUUACCAACGCUGGACUUUUCCUGCUGGCCUGAGGCUCCUCUUACAUCAGACACCGGCCACCCCUAGAACUUGCUUCCUCAUUUUUUGCUGUAACUGACUGUACGACACAGUGUUGGCUCCCUAAACGCAUUGGACAUACACCUGAAUGGCUGCGCGUCAGUGGCGGUGCUUUGAGUCCUGUUUCAGGUAUGCGGUGAACUGCUCGCUUGCUCACUCAGUGAAGUUACUGAUCGCUCCCUCCAAAAGUCCAGUUCUGCCAAGACGUAAAACCCUUUUGUAACACAAGUAUAAUACUUUCGAAUGUAGAUUUUGUUUACCUGUACUGAAUUUUCUCAAAAUGAACCAUACCUUUAAACACGAUAAUGACAGGCUAGGGCUGCUGUAACUUGAAUCAUCAGUGAAUACAAUACCUGGCACAUGGUGUGCUCCUGCCGGGAAAUUCUUUAACCUCAACUCUUCAGACUUAGGAAAAUAAGUAGUAUUUUCUUUAAAUUGGUAGUUUAUGUGAGGAUAAACAAAAGCAGUUUCCAUCUGGUUUGACGUUGACCCGGGAUUAUUUUCAAGUCAUCCUUGUUCCUCCUUUGCAAACGAAAUCACAGUCUCCAGGAGGAUGCAGCCAGUUAGUCUCGCCCGUCGCUGUCUUCAGAGUCAGCACGGUACCUGGACUCUGUAGAACACGUGCUCAGUGAACAUUUCUUGAACAGAUAAAUGAGGAAUAAAUGAAUACAUGUGUACAAAAAGCUUACUUCAUCUAGUCAUAAAAUGAUUUCAGUUUGCCAUGGGAUCAAAUGUAGACAUGACCAAUGCCUUCUAGAAAGAAACCUUUGGGGCAAAAAUCACCAUCUGAGUUGCACAAAUAAUAGUAAUAUUUUUGAUCAACAGUUCUCAAAUGUUUUGUUCUCAGGACUCCUUUAUACUCUAAAAAAUUGUUGAGAACCCCAAAGAGUUUUUGCUUAUAUAGGACAUAUCCAUUGAUACUUGCAAUAUUAGAAAUUAAAACCAAAAUUAAAUGUUAAUUUGAAAUAAUAGCAAUACUCAUAAUAUACCAACAUAAUGUUUUGUGAAAAUGUAUUUUCCAAAAUAAAAAUAAAUUAUGAGUGACAUUAUUUAAAAUAUUUGAAAAUCUCUUGACUGUCUGGCUUAGUAGAAGAUAGCUGGAUUCUCGUCUCUGCUUCUGCCUUCAAUCUAUGGUAAUAUUACCUGUCAUGUGGCCUCUAGAAAACUCCACAGUAUACUCAAGAGAAUGGGAUUUUCAUUAAAAUAGUUGUGAUCUGUGGACCCCCUGAAAGGGCUUGGAGAACCCCAGGAGUCCCUGGACUAUAAUUUGAGAACCUCUGUUCUAAAUGUUUACACUUUUAAAAUAAUAAAGCUAUUCAAUUCAUAACAGUUUCUUCUUUGCCUAGAAUAUCAGAACCUUCAGGGCGAAGGUCAUCCAUCAGCUCAGGUGGGGAAUGACAGCCUGUCCAUCACCUGUCACGCUGCUCAGCUGCUGCCUGAUUGCUACUGGGCUUUUCCUUCCUUUUUAGUGUUAAUGGUUUUUGGCCGUACUUCUUCUGCGUUUUCAUUAGAAGAUGCUGCCAGUCCUUUCUGGAAAGAGGUUAAGUGUUUAAAAGUAUAGGAAUAUCUGUCUAUCCAUCUAUCUAUCUAUCUACACACACAUAAAAAGCAACACAUACAAGUUUGAAAGUACACUUUCAUUUCAUUUUCAGUAUCUAUCUAGCUAACGCACCUCAACAGGAUGAAAAUAUAUAAUAUAGUCACUUGAAAGGUUAAGAAAAUCCUCAGGUUGUCUGAAUGGGCCUUCUUCACAGAGCCCAGAGAAUGGGGUUCAAGUGCAGGGCCUGCUCUCUAAACAGCUACAGCUCCAUGACAGGCAAUUUAUCACUCAAGAAAUGAGGCAAAUCAUCAAGGUCUCAGAGUGUCUGAACUGUUCCUCAGAACUCCCACCCGGACCAUCCACUUUUUCUCUGUCAAUAACUAAUUUGACUGAAGCCUAUGAGAGUCGCACUUUUUCAGUGCCAGCCCACUGCAUGUCAUUUUUCUGUCUGGGAGAACUGCCCUUCAGUCAUCCAGGCGGGUGAGCGCCCCGCCUUGCCUGUCUCAGGGCACCCUGUUUGGGGCCACCCUUGACCGGAUCAGGUUGUGCACCUGACCCAGGCUGAGCCAACCGCAUUCUCUCUCGUGGGAAUGUGGCCUCGGAUUGAGCACAGCCAGCUACCCGGGACCGACCUCUUCAGUAGGGAGGGUGUAAACCCGGCAGUUGUGAGGGAUCCUCUUCCACUCAGCUGCCCAGAGAGAAGAAGGAAGGAGAGUUGAUUGCAGAGAGACGUGGAGCAGAGGCGAAGGCUGGAGAAGGCCUGCUUCCUGGCUUCCUCGUAGCCAUCUGUCCUUGGGCUUCAUGAGAUACUGCCUCACCACAUAUUUCCCUUAAUAAUUAAGCCAGCUCAAGUUGAUUCCUUGCAACCAAAAGCUCUCAACUAAAGCAAAGGCAAAGCCAGAAGCAUUGGUGAGUUUUUCGCUACAGCCGGGUCCUGUAAAAGAUCCUGGAGAGGAUUGAUUGUAGGUCCUAAAUACGCAUCAUCGACUCACUGAAGGCUUCCAUCCGGCCAAAACACGUUUCCAUCCAAGGCCAACUAGAUUAGGAAAUGGCGUUUCCUCCUGCUUUCCAUCCCUGGAGGGCAAAUGUACAGAUGACUGGAGUUAGCAAUUGACUCUGUGGGUUAGUAUUUGCUGAGGGCACACGCCCAGGGACUUGAAUGACAGCAAUCCCCAGGUGCCAGGGAGGAGGCUGGCAAUUACGCUUCCCAUCACUGGCCUAUUCACCACUCCUGCAAACCAGCAUUCCUCAGAGCACUGACCCUCAAUGACUGGCAGGGCGACCGACUUUUAAAAGUGCCCAUUUUUAGCAGCUGGAAAUAAUAAACAGAGGGAAGUGAAGAUGCUGGAGGACUGAUUUCUCUUCCACUGUUUUCAAAAGUCAAAAGAUGCUAUAGACUAGUGGACUGGCAAGGAUGCCACGGAAAGCUGGUGCAACUCCUGCCGCAGAGCAGCUGUGUGAUGAUGGGUUAGUCCAUACACCUCCCUGGGCCUCAGUUUUUACAGCUGCAGAAUGACGAGGUAGAACUAGAAGGUCUUUAAUAUCCUUUUCAUCUCCAACUUUCUACAAUCUUUGUGAGCUGGAAAGAUUUACAUAGAACUUCAUCUUGAUUUUAUUACUUGUAGUUCAUCUUCUUGUGACAGAGCCGGCGGCAGCCUGUGCGUGCGGAAGUUGUGGAGUCAGACAGAUGAAGGAUGGAAUCCUGGGUCUGCCCCUAAGAGCUGUGCGAGCACGGCCAAGGCACUUUGCCCAUCCAUGCCUCGGUGUCCACAUGUGUAAAAUGGGACUAAGACCCACGCGAUUGUUGAAAGAAUUAAACGCAACAAAUUUGACAAACUUCUUAGCACAAUGCCUGACAUGUUAGCUGUUAUUUUUUGCAUCCUAUAUUUUGUGUGCCUGCUCUUUGCCGGGCCUGUCGCCUGGGAGAGCAGACACUGUGCUCUCUGCACAG